rnacentral:lncRNA from 1 species
CCACUGCCAGUGACUCUCUCCCCACCCUCUCCUCUCCGCUCCUCUCUGCCCCUUUAAAUCUGCCUGGCCCAACCUCCCCCUUGAUGCUGGGUUUGGAGCAAACAUUGAUUUGUGCUCGGAUGGAAUUGGAAUUUUGAUUUUUUUCCCCUCUCCCAACCAUAAGAAGAAAAAAAUAAAACACCCCCUCUUGAUAGCCCCCUCCUCUUUCCCAUCCAGCUCCCAGCUCCUCUUUGCUGCCUCCGUUCAAGGCAGAUUUUUUCCCCCUACACUUAUUCCCCUCCACCUUGCCACUACCUCACCCCCCACACUAGCCUGCACCUUCAGCCGAGGAGAGGGGACUCUUCCAUAGCUCCCCCACUUCCUUCUCUGGGUUGUAGCAGUCUCUCCGGAAGGGAAGGGGGCUUGGUUUGUCCGGGUGAGGUGUGAGUGGAGGGACCCUGACAUGGAAACUGCGCCCGGGAGGCAGCCUGAGCCCCAGCUCACAUGUUCCAGCCCCAGGAUGCGCUGAGCUGCCGGGGGGCUGAGGCCACGCCAACUACAUGCAUGUCCCCCGGGGGCAAGUUCGACUUUGACGACGGGGGCUGCUACGUGGGGGGCUGGGAGGCGGGGCGGGCACAUGGCUACGGCGUGUGCACCGGGCCCGGCGCCCAGGGAGAGUACAGCGGCUGCUGGGCUCACGGCUUCGAGUCGCUGGGUGUCUUCACGGGGCCCGGCGGACACAGUUACCAGGGCCACUGGCAGCAGGGCAAGCGCGAAGGGCUGGGCGUGGAGCGCAAGAGCCGCUGGACCUACCGCGGCGAGUGGCUGGGCGGGCUGAAGGGGCGCAGCGGCGUGUGGGAGAGCGUGUCCGGCCUGCGCUACGCCGGGCUCUGGAAGGACGGCUUCCAGGACGGCUACGGCACCGAGACCUACUCCGAUGGAGGCACUUACCAAGGCCAGUGGCAAGCCGGAAAACGCCAUGGCUACGGGGUACGCCAGAGUGUACCCUACCACCAGGCGGCGCUUCUGCGCUCACCCCGCCGCACCUCCCUGGACUCCGGCCACAGCGACCCCCCGACGCCGCCUCCACCCCUACCCCUACCAGGAGAUGAAGGAGGCAGCCCUGCCUCCGGCUCCAGAGGCGGCUUCGUACUGGCGGGGCCAGGGGACGCCGAUGGGGCGUCUUCCCGUAAGCGCACCCCAGCAGCAGGUGGAUUCUUCCGCCGUUCACUGCUGCUCAGCGGGCUCCGGGCUGGUGGGCGCCGCAGCUCCCUGGGCAGCAAGAGGGGAUCACUACGAAGCGAGGUGAGCAGCGAAGUGGGCAGUACAGGACCCCCGGGCUCCGAGGCCAGCGGGCCCCCUAUCCCAGCGCCACCUGCCCUCAUCGAGGGCUCUGCCACUGAGGUGUACGCCGGUGAGUGGCGUGCGGACCGGCGCAGUGGCUACGGAGUGAGCCAGAGAUCCAACGGGCUGCGCUAUGAAGGCGAGUGGCUGGGCAACCGACGGCACGGAUACGGGCGCACCACCCGGCCCGAUGGCUCCCGUGAGGAGGGCAAGUACAAGCGCAACCGGCUGGUACACGGGGGACGUGUCCGCAGCCUCCUGCCUCUGGCCCUUAGACGGGGCAAAGUCAAGGAGAAAGUGGACAGGGCUGUCGAAGGUGCCCGUCGAGCUGUGAGUGCUGCCCGCCAGCGCCAGGAAAUUGCUGCUGCCAGGUGGGCAUCUGGUGCACAGAUCUAACGUGGGUUGAGAGGAGAGGUUCCUCUGGGUACUACACUUAAGAGAGAAUCAAGACCCAAGCUCUACAGCCUGUUGGGGAAACAUGCCCAGGCCUAUGUCCAGGCAGUUGUAGCUCUAGGAUUUGGGGUGUUUAGAACCGAGGCUACAGGUGGAUGAGGGUGUAACUGUGGGUGGCUCAGUGUGUGGGGGUGGGGAGUAGUAAUGUGGAUAUGUGUGUCUAUAGAAUCCAUGGUGUGUGGCUGGUACAGUGAACGCUGCUUUGUACAGACCCCAAAACCUCAUGGUUUCCCUGGUCUUCUUGCUCUGCUCAUCCAGCCUUCAGGCCUCGGGCUGGGAGGAUGGGUGCUGUAGACUUUUCCUCACCAGUUUCCAGCUUGCCUUUAUUUCAGCCUUGACUGAAAUCUAUUUCUAGUUUCUGAGGAGGUCUAGUUUUUACGGCUGAAAUCCAUUCUCUGCCCACUUUGCCUGCUUUGCCUCAGAUCUGAAGGGAGGAGUCUUGCCUCUAAAGAAGCUUUGUCUUUCAGCAAAAUAAGAUUACAGGUCGAUGCAUCAGAGCCUUGUUAGCUGAAGCAGUGAAGUCCAGAAAGAAUAUAACGUAAGCCAGGUGUGGUGGCCCACGCCUUUAAUCGCAGCAUUCAGGAGGCAGAGGCAAGCAGAUCUCUUGAGUUCGAGGUCAGCCUGAUCUUCAGGGAUAGUUUCAGGAGAGCCAGAGCUACACAAAGAAACCUCAUAUGGGGGGGGGGGUUCUUUUUAAAGAAGUAAAAUGAAUUUUAAUAAUAUUUUUAUUUAAGCCAUAUUUCCAAAUUGUUAUCCUUUCAACCAACAAUAUAAUUUACAUUCCUUACGGAUUCUUU